CACUCGAUAUUUCGUAGUUCGUUUGCCCGAUAUUCGCCGGGUUUGUUCAAGUACCAGAGGUUAGACGGUUGCCGCGUGACGAAGGGAACAAAUCGACCAGAGAAGCGAGAACAGUGAUGCGACCCACCCGGAUUGCGUGCGCACUGACGAUCGUGUUCGCCGGUCUCUUUGCAUCGAACUUCGCUUGCGCCCAACGCCCCGAGCGGGGCGGGUCGUCGCAC
rnacentral:ncRNA from 16 species